GGGAGGUGUCUCCACCUCUGGAGGCGUCAGGUUGGUCUCGAACUCCGGGCUCCAGCGAUGCUCCCGCCCCGGCCUCCCAAAAUGCUGGAAUGACAGGCCAAUUCAUGCAUCCCCAGAUGCAGCUCUCACGGACAGCGCUGCUGCAGAGCCAUUUGUGGGCGUCUUCACUUCUCUUGAGUGUGAUACCUAGGACUGGAACUGCGAAACAUAGGGCUGGACGAGCUUCAUGGUAUUAGAAACUGCCUGCUUUCCAAGGUGAUGCACACCGUUCGGCACUCCCACCAGCCCUGUUGGAGCCUCCAGUUGCUCCACGCCCUGGCGUGGGCUCACUCCCUGAGCCUGCUGUGGGGCCUCCACCUGCUGCCCUCACUUCUGCCUGGGCUCUCUAGACUCUUGCUUCUUUUGUAAAAGGUCAGAGGAUGUCACUCACCCUUUAACAUCCUCCCAAUAAAAGCCAAGUUCCUUUCAGUGGCCCGCAGAGUCCGACGUGACCUGCCCUGCUCUAAGCAAAUUCUGCCCCGUCCCUGCUCCUCCUCCCCAUGGCCUCUGGCUUUCCCCGGGCCUCACUUCAUUUUCCUCCACAGCCGGCAUCGCAGCAUGACAUACUAUGGGGUCGUUUGUGUGUGUGUUGCCUGCCUCCCCUCUCGGAAUGUAGCCUCCACGAGGACAGGGGCUUGUUUCCUGCACGCUCCUCACUCAGGCUUCGCACUUCCGGGGUUAAGCAAAUGGAAGAUCCUGUGAGCAGGGAAACGGUCAGACGGCGUUAGGGGCUGGUGCCCUGCAGAGGACGAAAGGGAAACUUCAUGGGCUGAGGCCAGGUCAUCUGCAGGGUGGUGUUCAAAUUCAUGGUGCAAAGUCAGCAGGCGCCCAGAUGGGAAAAGAGAGGUCUCUCAAGUGCUUCUUACAGUCAGGGUAGAGUCCCCCCACCUCAAUCCUUCCUGUCCUGAUUUGCUGCCUCUAUGAUGCUUUGGGCUUCAAAAUCUAUCUGCAGUAUUUGUAAAA